GCCAGCAGCCAUAUCACCCUGCAACUCUGGACAACAACUGGCAGCCCUCUGAAGCUCAGCAGGUGUGAGCCUGGUCAGUACCUGGAUGGGAGACCUCCAGGGGAAAACUAAGGUUGCUGCUGGAA
rnacentral:rRNA from 1 species